CAGUAGCCGCGGGAAUACGGAGGGUGCAAGCGUUAAUCGGAAUUACUGGGCGUAAAGCGUGCGUAGGUGGUGGUUUAAGUCCGUUGUGAAAGCCCUGGGCUCAACCUGGGAAUUGCAGUGGAUACUGGGUCACUAGAGUGUGGUAGAGGAUAGUGGAAUUUCCGGUGUAGCAGUGAAAUGCGUAGAGAUCGGAAGGAACAUCUGUGGCGAAGGCGACUAUCUGGGCCAACACUGACACUGAGGCACGAAAGCGUGGGGAGCAAACAGGAUUAGAUACCCGUGUAGUCCCUGUCUCUUAUAC
rnacentral:rRNA from 1 species